rnacentral:rRNA from 1 species
AGCAGCCGCGGUAAUUCCAGCUCCAAUAGCGUAUAUUAAAGUUGUUGCAGUUAAAAAGCUCAUAGUUGAAUUUCGGGAUCAAUUUAUUGGUCGUGCUAUUGUACGUACUGGUAUUAUUGAUUCCUACCUUCUGACGAACCACGAUGCCAUUAAUUUGGUGUCAUGGGGAAUCAGGACUGUUACUUUGAAAAAAUUGAGUGUUUAAAGCAAGCUCGCGCUUGAAUACAUUAGCAUGGAAUAAUGAAAUAGGACGUUUGAUUCUAUUUUGUUGGUUUCUAGGAUCGACGUAAUGAUUAAUAGGGAUAGUUGGGGCAUUAGUAUUCAAUUGUCAGAGGUGAAAUUCUUGGAUUUAUUGAAGACUAACUACUGCGAAAGCAUUUGCCAAGGAUGUUUCAUUAAUCAAGAACGAAAGUUAGGGAUCGAAGACGAUCAGAUACCGUCGUAGUCUUAA